rnacentral:RNase_P_RNA from 1 species
GGGCGGUCCGUCGCGGUCCCCACGGGCAUCUGCCCGGCGGGGGCCGAGGAAAGUCCGGGCAACGCAGAGCACCAUACUUUCUAACGGAAAGCCGCGGGUGACCGCAGAGACAACGUGACAGAAAACAACCGCCCUCCUCUCCUGAGGAUGGCAAGGGUGAAAAGGCGGGGUAAGAGCCCACCGGGCGCCACCGCGAGAUGGCGCGCCGCACGUCUUAUGGGUUGCAAGGUCAAGUAUACCGACAUUCAAGGGCUGCUCGUCCAUUGUCGGGGGGUAGACUGCAGCGCUGCCCAAGCAGCGUCAGCGGCCGUGGCAACACGGCGUGAAGAUAAAUGACGGACAGCGCCCCUUCCGGGGGCGCCACAUAACCCGGCUUACAACCCGGCUGUU